UACGUAGGUCUCGAGCGUUAUCCGGAGUUACUGGGCGUAAAGGGUCCGUAGCCGGAUCUAUAAGUCUGUUUUCAAAUUCUUUCGCUCAACGAAAGGCAGGGAAUAGAUACUGUAGAUCUAGAGGUUUUUAGAGGUUAGUGGAAUUCCCAGUGGAGCGGUGAAAUGCGUUGAUAUUGGGAGGAACGCCGAAAGCGAAAGCAGCUAACUAUAAUUCACCUGACGGUCAGGGACGAAAGCUUGGGGAGCAAACGGG
rnacentral:rRNA from 1 species